NNNNNAUAUUACAGUACUUAUUACAUAUUACAGUACUUAUUACAUAUUACAGUACUUAUUACAGUACUUAUUACAUAUUACAGUACUUAUUACAGUACUUAUUACAUAUUACAGUACUUAUUACAGUACUUAUUACAUAUUACAGUACUUAUUACAGUACUUAUUACAUAUUACAGUACUUAUUACAUAUUACAGUACUUAUUACAGUACUUAUUACAUAUUACAGUACUUAUUACAGUACUUAUUACAUAUUACAGUACUUAUUACAGUACUUAUUACAUAUUACAGUACUUAUUACAGUACUUAUUACAGUACUUAUUACAUAUUACAGUACUUAUUACAGUACUUAUUACAUAUUACAGUACUUAUUACAGUACUUAUUACAUAUUACAGUACUUAUUACAGUACUUAUUACAUAUUACAGUACUUAUUACAUAUUACAGUACUUAUUACAGUACUUAUUACAUAUUACAGUACUUAUUACAGUACUUAUUACAUAUUACAGUACUUAUUACAGUACUUAUUACAGUACUUAUUACAUAUUACAGUACUUAUUACAGUACUUAUUACAUAUUACAGUACUUAUUACAUAUUACAGUACUUAUUACAGUACUUAUUACAUAUUACAGUACUUAUUACAGUACUUAUUACAUAUUACAGUACUUAUUACAGUACUUAUUGCAGUACUUAUUACAUAUUACAGUACAUAUUACAGUACUUAUUACAGUACUUAUUACAGUACUUAUUACUAGGGAUGCACGAUAUAUAUCAGCAUUAACAUCGGUAUCGGCCGAUGUUCGUCAUUUUUUAACAUAUCGGCAUCGGUCCGAUGAGUAAAAUUGGGCCGAUAUCCACNNNNNNNNNNNNNNNNNNNNCAAACGAUGUAUAUCCUCUAGUUGCUGUUUGUGUGUCGGGAGAAGGAGGGGGAGGGGGAUUUGGCCAUGUGUAUUUGUUUGGGCACGCGACAGAAAAAAUGUCUGCGUUGUGGGCGUUUUUCACGGUGUCAAAAGAAGCCACUCGAAAAACAGUAUGCAACACCUGCAAAGUGGAGGUAAUGAGAGGAGGAUGUUGCCAUGGAUACUGGCAUGUUUGAUAAGUGGUAGAGGUUGGUUACUUAUGUUUUAUGGUAGCUCUGUAACUUUGUUAUUUGGAAGUAAAAUACG
rnacentral:lncRNA from 15 species